rnacentral:rRNA from 1 species
UACGUAGGGUGCGAGCGUUGUCCGGAAUUAUUGGGCGUAAAGGGCGCGUAGGCGGCUUGUCACGUCGGGUGUGAAAGCCCGGGGCUUAACCCCGGGUCUGCAUUCGAUACGGGCAGGCUAGAGUGUGGUAGGGGAGAUCGGAAUUCCUGGUGUAGCGGUGAAAUGCGCAGAUAUCAGGAGGAACACCGGUGGCGAAGGCGGAUCUCUGGGCCAUUACUGACGCUGAGGAGCGAAAGCGUGGGGAGCGAACAGG